rnacentral:rRNA from 1 species
AGUGAACGCUGGCGGCGUGCCUAAUACCUGCAAGUCGAACGGAGUGGCGCACGGGUGAGUAAUAUAUAGCUAAUCUGCCCCUUGCUGGAGCACACCAGUUAGAAAUGACUGCUAAUACUCCAUAGCAAGGGAUGAGACUAUAUCGUAUCAGCUAGUCGGUGGGGUAACGGCCUCCCGAGGCUAUGACGCGUAACUGGUCUGAGAGGAUGAUCAGUCGCAUUGGAACUUGGACACGGGCCAAACUCCUUCGGGAGGCAGCAGUAGGGAAUAUUGCUCAAUGGGGGUAACCCUGACGGGUCAACGCCGCGUGGAGGAUGACACUUUUCGGAGCGUAAACUCCUUUUGUUAGGGAAGCGGUACCUAACGAAUAAGCACCGGCUAACUCCGUGCCAGCAGCCGCGGUAAUUC